GCGCAUCUGGUGUAGUGGUAUCAUAGCACCCUCUCACGAUACUGACCGGGGUUCGAUUCCUCGGAUGCGCA
rnacentral:tRNA from 1 species